GAUGAACGCUGGCGGCGUGCCUAAUACAUGCAAGUCGAGCGAACAGACGAGGAGCUUGCUCCUCUGACGCUAGCGGCGGACGGGUGAGUAACACGUGGAUAACCUACCUAUAAGACUGGGAUAACUUCGGGAAACCGGAGCUAAUACCGGAUAAUAUAUUGAACCGCAUGGUUCAAUAGUGAAAGACGGUUUUGCUGUCACUUAUAGAUGGAUCCGCGCCGCAUUAGCAAGUUGGUAAGGUAACGGCUUACCAAGGCAACGAUGCGUAGCCGACCUGAGAGGGUGAUCGGCCACACUGGAACUGAGACACGGUCCAGACUCCUACGGGAGGCAGCAGUAGGGAAUCUUCCGCAAUGGGCGAAAGCCUGACGGCGCCACGCCGCGUGAGUGAUGAAGGUCUUCGGAUCGUAAAACUCUGUUAUUAGGGAAGAACAAAUGUGUAAGUAACUAUGCACGUCUUGACGGUACCUAAUCAGAAAGCCACGGCUAACUACGUU
rnacentral:rRNA from 1 species